AGGGGGCGCGGCGGCCCCCGGCCCCCGGCCCGGCUGCGCGCCCGGCUCCGAACGCCCCGCUCCGCCCGGGGAACGGGGCCGGGCAGCGGAGCCAGGGAGCGGAGCCAGCCGUCCCGGGAACACGCACCGGCUCCGGCGGGAGCAGGGACGGCUCCGCGCGGCCCCAAUCCCCGGCCGCGGCAUCGGCCGUGAAGGGAGCUGGACGAUGAGGGGCGAAGGACGUGGCCAACCGAGCCAGACAUCCAACACCAUCAACAGCCCUGCGUUCGGGUCCUGGUGGUUGUCAGAGCAGGCAGGAGCUGACGUGUGGCCUGAGCACUGCUGUGGGGACAACACGGCUUCGUGGGCUCCCAGGGAACAGACAUGUGCUGAUGGGAAUCUGAGCAGGAAUAAACAUCACUGCAAUCAAUACCUCAGAUCGUCUGAUACCACCUACACGACAGAGAGCAGGAAAGAAGGGAGAAUGAUGCUCCAUUGGAAGUUUUAGGGAAAUCUAAGGUGGAAAAUGGAGUGUUUGUGAGGUGGUCCAUUCACAUCCGAGGCUGGCAGUGAGACUGCUGUGCUCUGAUGGCUCUGACUCCCCACUGGGGCUCCAACUUCAUGCGACAUCCGACUUAUGACAUCCAACUUCCCGGUGACAUCCACCCUCGCAGUGUCUGUCACGGCUGCUGGCUUGCUGGGGAGAGUCCUGACAUGUCUUGUGGCACACGUGUGUGUGCACUCUGGCUUGUGCUCUGAGUGCUCCAGGGCUGGGCCUGAUGGUGUGUCUGGAGCUGGUGCUGUGGCUGUGAAGAUGCUGAUCUUCAGCUGCUGUCUGGUGGUGCUGGGGCCAGGCCCUGCCACAGUGGGCAGAUACCAGCACAAGGCUCAUGCUUGAUGAGCAGCUGGCCUUGUUCUCUGCUUGGGGACUUUGUACCUCACACGAAAUUGGAUAAAAAUAUGCUUUAGCCCUCUUGCCCCCUGGAAGGCACUCACAGGGGUGAUACCACUCCUCUUGGAUCUCUUGGAGAUGACAUCAAUGUAAAUGUGUCCAUGAAGUGGGGAUGGAUUGUGACUGUUCCAGGGGCCUGGCACUGCCUCUUUCCUGCCCUUGGCUCCAGGCAGGCGAGCAGGCCCUGAUGAGCAGAGGGGAUUCCUGAUGCAAAGAGCGUCAGCCACUGGUACAUCAUGUCUUCUGGUACCUCGUUGUAGGUCUGAAACUUUUGCUCUAUUGAAGAGGAAACAAAGCUCUCCCCUCCCAAAACUCCAUCCUGAAACACUUGGCAAGUCAGACAGGGGAUGUGAGUAGUGAAAGUAGUGAAAGUGUAUCCAUGUAGGGAAGGGCCAGGUGCAGAGACUGCACUGCUGCUGCAGGACCCCUUUCUUAUGUACCCCUCAAACACGGCCUGCCGGGCUGGGAGGGGGGAAGGAGUGACCUGUGCCACCACCAUGGGAUCUCGUCUGACCCAGGAGCUGGGGCUGCCCACAACAAAACCAGUGCUCUGUACCUGCAAGUUCCUGCAAUGCCCUGAUGCCCAGGGCAGCUGGACACACCACACUGGAGGUGGGUGUUUGAGGGGGCUGGUGAUGCUGAUGGUGUACCCUGAGUGCUGAUGGUGCCCUUGGGGCUGCAACAACGAAAACUUCCCCAUGGUGACCCCAUUACAGUGUUCCUACUAACAGAGGUGCAACCACAGCAACCACCCAUCCACGUGCUAAACAAACUGACUUUCCUCGGGAGUUUGCUGCGCUCACAGCCUGGACUGACAUGGAUUUUGGGGUUUUUAUUGGAAAUGGCAGUGCCUGAUGCAGUCCUGCACGUCGUGGGUUCCAGAGCAGGGCCUGUGGGGUCAGUGGCAGGGCCUGAUCCUGUGGGAGCUGUGGGCUGGAAAACCUCACUUGUGGUGAUGGGAGCCUGCCAGGAAGAUGGACUUGCACUUUUGGGAUUGUACUUGGGAAGAGGCCCCCCAUAGAGGCCAUCCAGGGCCAGAAGUGCUUGUGGUUGGCUCUGGCCUGUCCGUGUGCCCCGUUUCCCUGUGUUUGGACCGUCUUAAAUUCCCCAACUUUGUGGCCUUGGGUGUUGCUUUCCUACAGGAGAUCAUCCUGUGAGUGAGGGGCCGUGCCCAGCUCCCACCCCACUUCCAGGGGGACCAAAGCAGAGCCAGUGGACACAGGACACUCCAUCAUCAGCACUUGGGGGCAAGAGCGACAGUUCUCUGUAAUUAAAGGUGCUCUUUGUGCUCCUGUGUUCAAAUACCCAAAUCCAGCAUUUCCCCACAUGUCUGGAAUUGUGUUUGCAGUUAUUUAAUUUGGAGUUCUUUUUAAAAGCAUGGAGUCUGGAAUGUUUGUUCUCCGCUUUUUUUCACAUCAUUACUCUGAUACUGCUUGAUUAGCUCCCUCCCCAGUCAUGAUUGGUAAUUAAAAUAGGCAUUAAAAUUAGUCACUUAGCAAUUUUGCUGUUCAAUUGGCAAUUAAAUUACUUAAUUGCAAUUAAAGUCCUAAUUUUAAUUGGCAAAAUGAUAGAUGUAGAUUUAAGAUAAUAUGUAUAAAUACUUUAAUAAGUGUCUAUAUAAGGAUUACUUAAUUACUCAACUUCAAGUUUAUGCUGUUAACUUUAGAACUUUUAAGUGAGUAAUGAAAUUUAUAUUACAUCUAUUCUAAGGAUAUGAUAAUUAGAUGUAUCACUUAGCCUUAUAAGGGCCUGGGCUGUAAGUUGCUUCUGUGGUGUUGAACUACAGCCUGGACAAGCUGUUGGGAUAGGAGUGACACUGAUGGUGAUGCCGCAGCCAAGGGGACACACGGGGAAGUUGGCUGAGCUCCUCCAGCACCCGCUGGGUGAAUCCCGUGGAGAAGAACCCAAGGCAGCACCUGGAGCUGUGGAAACACUGUUCUGAACAGCCCUCAGUGGCACCUCACAGCGCUGGACCGGUUCUGUGCUGGUCUUCACCACAUCAUCCCACUGGAUAAAUCCCGGGAGCAACUCUGUGGGAGCGGGAGAACAUCACCCGGCUGUGGAGAUGGUCUCUCAGGGUGGGGGCAGUUCGUCUCGGGUGUUGGAGUGUCUCCAGCGAGAGGAGCAGGUUGGGAAGGGAACGUUUGGGGUUUCACACAAACCAUCGGUAUUUCAGCGUUCCGGGGGGUUUCUGCAAGGUGCAGACUUCGGGGGGAACACGCUGGAUUUCAGGGUGAGGUUGUGCCGUGUUGGGCUUUAUUCCCGGUUGGAUGUUCGGUACCUUUCCACAGCCUUUAGGACAUGGGGUCUACUGCCCUCCUGAGGAAGGGCACCUGGAGCUGCCGGGCCCUUCCCAGGCUGUGAAGGCCCGUGGCCACCCCGUCUGUGUUGGGCAGGGACACCCACUCACGUGACUGUGUCCCUUUUUUCCAGGUUGGAGGCAGCAGAGGGUCCCAUGGGAAGGUCCAGGGUUGGUGUUGGAGCCACCUGCCAGACCCCACCAAGUGUCUCCCUCCAAAAGUUCUUUGUCCCUGUGCACCAUCACUGGAUGGACCCAGAAACUGAGAUUCCUGAUCGGUUUUUAGUAAAUAUUUUUAAAUAAAUGCAGCGCCUUUAAUUGUC